rnacentral:rRNA from 1 species
UGUGUAGGAGGCCAGGUAAGUCAGGUGUGAAAUCUCUCAGCUUAACUGAGAAACUGCGCUUGAUACUGCUUGGCUAGAGGAUCGGAGGGGGUAUCGGAAUUUAUGGUGUAGCAGUGAAAUGCGUAGAUAUCAUAAGGAACACCGGUGGCGAAGGCGGAUACCUGGAAGAUUCCUGACUCUGAAACACGAAAGCCAGGGGAGCAAACGGGAUUAGAUACCCCGGUAGUCCUGGCCGUAAACGGUGUGCAUUGGGCGUAUGCGGAUUCGACCCCGUAUGUGUCGUAGAUAACUCAUUAAAUGCACCGCCUGGGAAGUACGGUCGCAAGAUUAAA